UCUAUACGGUGAAACUGCGAAUGGCUCAUUAAAUCAGUUAUCGUUUAUUUGAUAGUACCUUACUACUUGGAUAACCGUGGUAAUUCUAGAGCUAAUACAUGCUAAAAACCCCGACUUCGGAAGGGGUGUAUUUAUUAGAUAAAAAACCAAUGCCCUUCGGGGCUCCUUGGUGAUUCAUAAUAACUUAACGAAUCGCAUGGCCUUGUGCCGGCGAUGGUUCAUUCAAAUUUCUGCCCUAUCAACUUUCGAUUGUAAGGUAUUGGCUUACAAUGGUUUCAACGGGUAACGGGGAAUUAGGGUUCUAUUCCGGAGAAGGAGCCUGAGAAACGGCUACUACAUCCAAGGAAGGCAGCAGGCGCGCAAAUUACCCAAUCCCGACACGGGGAGGUAGUGACAAUAAAUACUGAUACAGGGCUCUUUUGGGUCUUGUAAUUGGAAUGAGUACAAUUUAAAUCCCUUAACGAGGAACAAUUGGAGGGCAAGUCUGGUGGAUGUCAAUCCUGGGGGGCUCCAGCUCCCCUGCUGGCGCCAGAAAAAGCUUGGUAGUGAUCAUUCUAGUCGUUGUACAACACGCUUUGGGUGUACAGCGGCAAGACAACCUUGAUCGGGGAAGGCUACAGUCCUAGUACUAGUUAACCCCGAGCCGAGCCCUUAGCAAUAGGGGCCGGUCUAGAGCACGCCAAGGUGUCGGCGCCCCUCCGGGGGUGCUUAAGGUACGUGCCGUCCCUCGCGAAAGCCUGUCUGUGCGGGAGUUCCCAAAGAACAACCGUAUAGAGGUAUGACCUUCGGGUCUACUGGGCACUAAACGGCCAGCAGCCGCGGUAAUUCCAGCUCCAAUAGCGUAUAUUAAAGUUGUUGCAGUUAAAAAGCUCGUAGUUGAACCUUGGGCCUGGUUGGCCGGUCCGCCUCACCGCGUGCACUGGUCCGACCGGGUCUUUCCUUCUGGGGAGCCGCAUGCCCUUCACUGGGUGUGUCGGGGAACCAGGACUUUUACUUUGAAAAAAUUAGAGUGUUCAAAGCAGGCCUAUGCUCGAAUACAUUAGCAUGGAAUAAUAGAAUAGGACGUGUGGUUCUAUUUUGUUGGUUUCUAGGACCGCCGUAAUGAUUAAUAGGGAUAGUCGGGGGCGUCAGUAUUCAAUUGUCAGAGGUGAAAUUCUUGGAUUUAUUGAAGACUAACUACUGCGAAAGCAUUCGCCAAGGAUGUUUUCAUUAAUCAGUGAACGAAAGUUAGGGGAUCGAAGACGAUCAGAUACCGUCGUAGUCUUAACCAUAAACUAUGCCGACUAGGGAUCGGGCGAUGUUAUCUUUUUGACUCGCUCGGCACCUUACGAGAAAUCAAAGU
rnacentral:rRNA from 1 species